rnacentral:rRNA from 1 species
UACGGAGGUGGCAAGCGUUGCUCGGAAUCACUGGGCGUAAAGCGCACGUAGGCGGAUUGUUAAGUCAGGGGUGAAAUCCUGGAGCUCAACUCCAGAACUGCCUUUGAUACUGGCGAUCUUGAGUCCGGGAGAGGUGAGUGGAACUGCGAGUGUAGAGGUGAAAUUCGUAGAUAUUCGCAAGAACACCAGUGGCGAAGGCGGCUCACUGGCCCGGUACUGACGCUGAGGUGCGAAAGCGUGGGGAGCAAACAGG